AAGAGGGAACCCGGUGGGAAUCCGGGACUGCCCCGCAGCGGUGAGUGGGAACGACCGCCGUCGUGCACACUGGGCCGACACGGCGCCUUCGGGCGCCGGCCUGGGAAGUGACGGCCAGUAGGUUCGCGGUGCCCUGACACGGCUCCGCCGAGCGCCCACGAGUCCGAAGACCU
rnacentral:ncRNA from 2 species